CCUACGGGAGGCAGCAGUGGGGAAUUUUGGACAAUGGGCGAAAGCCUGAUCCAGCCAUUCCGCGUGAGUGAAGAAGGCCUUCGGGUUGUAAAGCUCUUUCGCAAGGGAAGAAAACUUAGUCUCUAACAUAGACUGAGGUUGACGGUACCUUGAUAAGAAGCACCGGCUAACUACGUGCCAGCAGCCGCGGUAAUACGUAGGGUGCGAGCGUUAAUCGGAAUUACUGGGCGUAAAGCGUGCGCAGGCGGUUUUGUAAGUCAGAUGUGAAAUCCCCGAGCUCAACUUGGGAACUGCGUUUGAAACUACAAGACUAGAAUAUGUCAGAGGGGGGUAGAAUUCCACGUGUAGCAGUGAAAUGCGUAGAGAUGUGGAGGAAUACCAAUGGCGAAGGCAGCCCCCUGGGAUAAUAUUGACGCUCAUGCACGAAAGCGUGGGGAGACAAACGAGGAUUAGACUACCGUGGUAGUCCACGACCCUAAACGAUGUACUACUAGUUGUUGGUAGAAGUAAACUCAUGAGUACGCAGCUAACGCGUAGAAGUACGACCGCGUGGGGACGUCGGUCGACGAAGUAAUUAAACCUACGAAAAGGUAAAGUUAGGUACGGACGUGAGACGUACGACCGACGACGACGACGGAGGGAGGAGG
rnacentral:rRNA from 1 species